rnacentral:tRNA from 1 species
UGUGUGUUAGCUUAAUUGGCAGAGCAGUGUGUUACGGCCACAUUUAUACAAGUUCGAGUCUUGUACACAUAA